rnacentral:rRNA from 1 species
AUUGAACGCUGGCGGCAGGCCUAACACAUGCAAGUCGAGCGAGCGGCGGACGGGUGAGUAAUGUCUGGGACACUGCCUGAUGGAGGGGGAUAACUACUGGAAACGGUAGCUAAUACCGCAUAACACCAGAUGUGCCCAGAUGGGAUGAGCUAGUAGGUGGGGUAAUGGCUCACCUAGGCGACGAUCCCUAGCUGUUCUGAGAGGAUGACCAGCCACACUGGAACUGAGACACGGGCCAGACGCCUACGGGAGGCAGCAGUGGGGAAUAUUGCACAAUGGGCGCAAGCCUGAUGCAGCCAUGCCGCGUGUGUGAAGAAGGCCUUCGGGUUGUAAAGCACUUUCAGCGAGGAGGCGUUACUCGCAGAAGAAGCACCGGCUAACUACGUGCCAGCAGCCGCGGUAAUUC